UACGUAGGGUCCGAGCGUUGUCCGGAAUUAUUGGGCGUAAAGGGCUCGUAGGCGGUCUGUCGCGUCGGGAGUGAAAACUCAGGGCUCAACCCUGAGCGUGCUUCCGAUACGGGCAGACUAGAGGUAUGCAGGGGAGAACGGAAUUCCUGGUGUAGCGGUGGAAUGCGCAGAUAUCAGGAGGAACACCGGUGGCGAAGGCGGUUCUCUGGGCAUGACCUGACGCUGAGGAGCGAAAGCGUGGGGAGCGAACAGG
rnacentral:rRNA from 1 species